rnacentral:rRNA from 1 species
CACUCCUACGGGGAGGCAGCAGUGGGGAAUAUUGCACAAUGGGGGAAACCCUGAUGCAGCCAUGCCGCGUGUGUGAAGAAGGCCUUCGGGUUGUAAAGCACUUUCAGUAGGGAGGAAGGUAGUGUAGUUAACACCUGCAUUAUUUGACGUUACCUACAGAAGAAGCACCGGCUAACUCCGUGCCAGCAGCCGCGGUAAUACGGAGGGUGCGAGCGUUAAUCGGAAUUACUGGGCGUAAAGCGCAUGCAGGCGGCCUGUUAAGUCAGAUGUGAAAGCCCGGGGCUUAACCUCGGAAUUGCAUUUGAAACUGGCAGGCUAGAGUCUUGUAGAGGGGGGUAGGAAUUUCAGGUGUAGCGGUGAAAUGCGUAGAGAUCUGAAGGAAUACCAGUGGCGAAGGCGGCCCCCUGGACAAAGACUGACGCUCAGAUGCGAAAGCGUGGGGAGCAAACAGGAUUAGAUACCCUGGUAG